CGACCCCAGGUCAGGCGGGAUCACCC
rnacentral:rRNA from 14 species